rfam:TPA: Bos taurus chromosome 17, whole genome shotgun sequence.
UCCCUGGUGGCUUAGUGGUAAAGACUCUGCCUGCAAUUCAGGAGACCCGGGUUCGAUUCCUGGGUUAGGAA